AUGCGCCCUCUUCCACCUAUAGGUAAUUUCAGAGAAGUUUCUUUUCAAGUGGAAACCUCAAGGCCAUUAGAACUUGCUAUCCUCUUGCCUAAUAGGCAAAGAUUGACCUCUGUAUAACGACUGAUUCAUUCGGCUCGAUAUGAGGACCCAACUCCGUUGCAUUGCCAGAAUCCAUGAUCCAUAUUUGAAGCGGGUUGA
rnacentral:rRNA from 1 species